UACAAAUGGUGAUGGAAGAAGUGAAAAGCCAGACAGCAUGGGGAGGUAACCCAGAGUGUAAAUGACAAUGGGAAACUGCCACCACCUCUAGUUUAGGAAGAGCAAAGAUGAAAAUAGAUGCAUGUUAAUGUGUGAGAAAUCUCAGUACUAUACAGAAGUCAGUUUUCCCCAAAUCGAGCACACAGGCAAGGCAAUCUUAAUCAUAACUGCCAGGACAGUUUCUUUGGAAAUUAGCAAGUUGACUCUAAAGUUAUAUGGACAUGUAAAGGAUCUAGAAUAACCAAAAUAAUUUUGAGAAAGAACAAAGUUGAAAGAUUUAAAAUUGUUGACUUCAAGAGUUAAUAAAAACCAAUAGUUAUCAAGAGAGUAUGUUGUUGGUAUAAGACAAGAAAGAUCAACGAAAGAAAUAGAAAGUCCAGAAAUAGACUUUCACUUAUAAGAUCAACUGGUUUCUCAUAAAGGUGUCAUAGCAACUUAAUGGGGGAAUUAGUGAUUUUGAAUAAAUGAUGCUGGAAUAACUGGAUAUCUGUGGAUGAAAGAGGCAUUUAUGCAAUUCCACUUGCUCACUGAAUUCAAAUGCAAUCAGAAUUUGCAAGGAAAGCCAACGGACUUGACAUGAAGAGGUGACGUUGCUGAAACCCUUUCAGUGGAGUUUCCGGCCAGAAGGCAGAAUGUUGAGGUUUGAGGAGAUGGAAGUGGCAAUGAGGAUGCUGAGAAGAGACGAUUGUCAGGAAGUGAGGCAGUGAAGCAAACACUAAGGAAGGAAAGUAGAUUGGAACUCAGACAACAGAGCUGCGAUGGGACUUUUUUAUCCGUAAUGAGAGCUCAACAAUUUCAAGAUGAAGGGAGGGCUGGCAGGCAGGAGGAAGAUCACAGAUGGCUCUCGGGAGCCCAGCAGAGAGGAGGAGAUGCUGUCUGUACUAAAGCCGGAAGGCUUAGGAAUGGAGAAGGCUACCCCUGCCUCAGAGUAGCAGAGAACGAAGUGCAAACAGGAGCAAAGCUGUGCACAGCUGGAAGUCGAGAAGUCCAAGAUUUCAAAGGAGCACUUGAAGCGGGACGGCUGAAUUACAGUUAUUUUUUACAACAGAGCUGCUCCGAUGUCAUGGAAAGACUCCUCAAAGCCCCAGCUCUGGUAAUUCAAUGAAACACAACCAUCCUACACCACAACUGCUGGGCGCUCUCCCACGGAAUAUCCAAAGAGGACAGGAAUGAGAAGAAUCAGCCAUCAAUUACGUUUUAAAAUUUAAAAUUAAAAGAAGUAUUUAUAUUUCAUAUUUCCCUUGAUGCAAAUUUUUGACAUUUUCUAAAUUUCUACUUAUUUUGUAUAAAAAUGAGCUUAUGAUAUAAUAAAUGAUGACUCCCAUAUGUUGCAAAAGUUAGGUUUUAUUUCAAAAUGAGCACAGACCCAUGCUAUAACUUUUUAAGAGCUUUAAUGGUUUCCCCAAACCAAUAAAAUUAAAAUGACAUCCCACAAUGGAGUGCUCUAUUGCUGUAUCUCUUGGAUGAGAAAGAAGGAAUGGUUCAAAUGGAAGAAUGAAAGGAAAUGAAGAGAAACCAUCUGCUAAGAGGGUCUUGUGACUGUUCAGACUAGCACUGUGUUUGUUCUGGUUCUUUAGUCCUGUGAUAUUUGACAUUUUUAUUUGUAAAUAUGAUGAGUUGAUGGCUGCAGCAAACCACCAUGGGACAAGUAUACCUGUGUAACAAACCUGCACAUUCUGCACAUGUAUUCCAGAAC
rnacentral:lncRNA from 1 species